rnacentral:rRNA from 1 species
AUGCCGUCGUGGCCGAACAGCAACGAGACGUCGGACGACGAUGACGAGUACAUGAGCGAGUUCAGCAGCAUGCAGAUGGAGUACUUUCAAACUCCUGACACUGUGAUAGACCCUAGUUUCUGUGGGCUUGUGACUGAAUCUGACAGAAGGUGCAUCCUGCACAGGCAGAGGGCGGGCAAGUUUUUGGCAUUUGAAGGCACUGACACUGGCAGGAGAUUCAUAGGAUGUGCUACUGAGGAUGGUGUGAAUUGUGGUGUUCUGGAGUGGGUAGAUGCCCCCUGGCCUGUAAUUAUGCAAAGGUGCUUAAGCAAGCUCUAG